UACAGAGGUCUCAAGCGUUGUUCGGAUUCAUUGGGCGUAAAGGGUGCGUAGGUGGUGGGGUAAGUCGGAUGUGAAAGCUCGGAGCUCAACUCCGAAAUGGCAUUGGAAACUACCCUGCUAGAGGAUUGGAGGGGGGACUGGAAUACUUGGUGUAGCAGUGAAAUGCGUAGAUAUCAAGUGGAACACCAGUGGCGAAGGCGAGUCCCUGGACAAUUCCUGACACUGAGGCACGAAAGCUAGGGGAGCAAACAGG
rnacentral:rRNA from 1 species